AACGAACGCUGGCGGCGUGCCUAACACAUGCAAGUCGUACGCGAAAGGGGGCAACCCCCGGUAGCGUGGCAGACGGGUGAGUAACACGUGGGCAAUCUGCCCGGAGGUGGGGGAGUAACCCUUCGAAAGGAGGGCUAAUACCGCAUGAUAUCCCGGAGACUUUGGACUUCGGGAUCAAAGCUGGCCUCUACUUGUAAGCUAGCGCCACCGGAGGAGCCCGCGCCCCAUUAGCUAGUUGGUGAGGAACGGCUCACCAAGGCUACGAUGGGUAGCCGGCCUGAGAGGGCGACCGGCCACACUGGAACUGCGACACGGUCCAGACUCCUACGGGAGGCAGCAGUGAGGAAUAUUGGACAAUGGGGGCAACCCUGAUCCAGCGACGCCGCGUGGGUGAAGAAGGCCUGCGGGUUGUAAAGCCCUUUCGGGUGGGAAAGAAAAGUCUCGACCUAAUACGUCGGACCUUGACGUAACCCACUAAGAAGCACCGGCUAACUC
rnacentral:rRNA from 1 species